rnacentral:rRNA from 1 species
AGCAGUAGCCGCGGUAAUACAGAGGGUGCGAGCGUUAAUCGGAUUUACUGGGCGUAAAGCGUGCGUAGGCGGCUUCUUAAGUCGGAUGUGAAAUCCCUGAGCUUAACUUAGGAAUUGCAUUCGAUACUGGGAAGCUAGAGUAUGGGAGAGGAUGGUAGAAUUCCAGGUGUAGCGGUGAAAUGCGUAGAGAUCUGGAGGAAUACCGAUGGCGAAGGCAGCCAUCUGGCCUAAUACUGACGCUUAGGUACGAAAGCAUGGGGAGCAAACAGGAUUAGAUACCCGAGUAGUCCCUGUCUCUUAUAC